rnacentral:rRNA from 1 species
AGCGAACGCUGGCGGCAGGCUUAACACAUGCAAGUCGAACGCCCCGCAAGGGGAGUGGCAGACGGGUGAGUAACACGUGGGAACGUACCCUUUGGUUCGGACUAACUUGGGGAAACUCAAGCUAAUACCGGAUAAGCCCUUAUGGGGAAAGGUUUACUGCCGAAGGAUCGGCCCGCGUCUGAUUAGCUAGUUGGUGAGGUAAUGGCUCGCCAAGGCGACGAUCAGUAGCUGGUCUGAGAGGAUGAUCAGCCACACUGGGACUGAGACACGGCCACGACACCGACGGGAGGCAGCAGUGGGGAAUAUUGGACAAUGGGGGCAACCCUGAUCCAGACAUGCCGCGGGAGUGAUGAAGGCCUUAGGGUUGUAAAGCUCUUUUACCCGGGACGAUAAUGACUGUACCGGGAGAAUAAGCCCCGGCUAACUUCGUGCCAGCCGCCGCCGUAA